rnacentral:lncRNA from 1 species
CUCCCGCCUCCACCGACUCAUCUGCACACCCCGAAGUGACCGUUCUCGGCCCCCUCAGCCCUGCUGGUGACCAGGUCCAGGCCCUGCUCCCCUGGAAUCCACGGUCUGCAUGGGAGGAGAUGGCUCAGCAGAAAGGACCUCGUUCACCUCGCUCUGGGGGCUAUCACCCGCUGAGACGCAGCUAGAAACACAGGCGCAGAACCUCAGGCUCCCACGAAGCCCAUCUUGAAAACGUGUGGAAGCUGACACGGCCCCUCCUCUGAACUUUGUCCCCAGCUGCCAGGCAGUCGCUCAGAGCAUGGGGAGAGAGGAAAGGCGCCUUUCACUCCAGGUGAGUGAUACCCUUGUCGCUUAGGGAGACACCAAAGUUGUCCCAGAAGGUGCCCACUUCCCCAGGGUCUUCCCACACCACCCUCAGGCUCUGCCUAUGAUUUCCUAGCUGUCGGGUGACCCACCUGGCGCAGGUGCAGACCUGCGGUCUCUCCUCCUCUCUGGAGUCCCAGCCCAGAACCCCU